rnacentral:rRNA from 1 species
GACGAACGCUGGCGGCGUGCUUAACACAUGCAAGUCGAACGGAAAGGCCCUGCUUUUGUGGGGUGCUCGAGUGGCGAACGGGUGAGUAACACGUGAGUAACCUGCCCUUGACUUUGGGAUAACUUCAGGAAACUGGGGCUACUACCGGAUAGGAGCUCCUGCUGCAUGGUGGGGGUUGGAAAGUUUCGGCGGUUGGGGAUGGACUCGCGGCUUAUCAGCUUGUUGGUGGGGUAGUGGCUUACCCAGGCUUUGACGGGUAGCCGGCCUGAGAGGGUGAACGGCCACAUUGGGACUGAGAUACGGCCCAGACUGCUACGGGAGGCAGCAGUGGGGAAUAUUGCACAAUGGGCGGAAGCCUGAUGAAGCAACGCCGCGUGCGGGAUGACGGCCUUCGGGUUGUAAACCGCUUUCGCCUGUGACGAAGCGUGAGUGACGGUAAUGGGUAAAGAAGCACCGGCUAACUACGUG